UACGUAGGGCGCAAGCGUUGUCCGGAAUUAUUGGGCGUAAAGAGCUCGUAGGCGGCCUGUUGCGUCCGCUGUGAAAUCCCGGGGCUCAACCCCGGGCCUGCAGUGGAUACGGGCUGGCUAGAGGCAGGCAGGGGAGACUGGAAUUCCUGGUGUAGCGGUGAAAUGCGCAGAUAUCAGGAGGAAUACCGGUGGUGUAGACGGCUCUCUGGACCGCAACUGACGCUGAGACACGAAAGCGUGGGUAGCAAACAGG
rnacentral:rRNA from 1 species